GGAUGUGAGGGCGAUCUGACUGCGACAUCUGUCACCCCAUUGAUCGCCAGCAUUGAUUCGGCUAAUCUGGCUGGCUAAGCUGGUGUCCCUUCCUUGCUCACAGCUCCAAGUGCAUUCCUCCCAAAGCUGCACACUAGGUCGAAGAGGACGACCAUUCCCUGACAGAGAAGGACUGGUCUUCGGUCAAGGGUAUAUGAUUAGCUGAGCUCUCCUGCUAGAACAUCCAGACAAGCUCUCAAGACCCAUUAGAUAUAUGGUAUUUAAGAAAUGCAACGUAGCUGACAACUAUUCCACCACUGG
rnacentral:snRNA from 10 species